rnacentral:rRNA from 1 species
UACGUAGGGGGCAAGCGUUGUUCGGAUUUAUUGGGCGUAAAGGGCAUGUAGGCUGUGAUACAAGUGUGAGUUUAAAGACUAAAGCUUAACUUUAUGUUUGGCUUGCAAACUGUAUUACUUGAGUGCAGGAGGGGAGACUGGAAUUCCACGUGUAGGGGUGAAAUCUGUAGAGAUGUGGAAGAAUACCAAUGGCGAAGGCAAGUCUCUGGCCUGUAACUGACGCUGAAAUGCGAAAGUGCGGGGAG